rnacentral:tRNA from 1 species
CUAAGUGAGAACUUUCAAAAAUCCGUCGACUUAAAAAAUCGUGAGGGUUCAAGUCCCUCUAUCCCCA